ensembl:lncRNA
AUGAGCUGCACUCGUCCACACGCGUCGACUGCAGAGACAACGUCACUUGAAUUCCAGAUCCCGAGUCAGAAGGACGAGUCUGUUCCGUCAGUCGAGGUGAAGAGAGAUAAUGAUGCUCUUUGCUUCAUUAUCUCUCACACGGUUGGAUGCUCCCUGCUCACCCCCCUCCACCUCCCCCUCCCCCUCCACCUCCUCCUCCCCCUCCCCCUCCUCCUCCCCCCUCCCCCUCCACCUCCUCCUCCACCCUCCUCCUCCUCCAUCCACCCUCCUCCUCCUCCUCCCCCUCCUCCUCCUCCUCCCCCUCCAUCCUCCUCCUCCUCCCCCUCCACCUCCUCCUCCCCCCCCUCCACCUCCUCCUCCCCCCUCCACCUCCACCCCCUCCACCUCCUCCUCCACCCUCCCCCCUCCACCUCCUCCUCCCCCUCCACCCUUCCUCCACCCUCCCCCUCCCCCUCCUCCUCCUCCCCCUCCACCCUCCUCCUCCUCCCCCUCCAUCCAUCCACCUCCCCCUCCUCCUCCCCCUCCACCUCCUCCUCCCCCCUACCUCCACCCUCCACCUCCCCCUCCAUUACCCCCUCCUCCUCCACCUCCCCCUCCUCCUCCUCCUCCCCCCUACCUCCCCUCCUCCUCCCCCUCCACCUCCACCCUCCACCCCCCCCCCUCCACCUCCUUCCACCCUCCCCCUCCACCUCCUCCUCCCCCCCCUCCACCCUCCUCCUCCAUCCCCCUCCUCCUCCUUCCCCCUCCACCUCCUCCUCCUCCUCCCCCUCCACCUCCUCCACCUCCUCCUCCCCCCCCUCCCCCCACCUCCACCCCCCCUCCACCUCCCCCUCCACCUCCUCCUCCCCCUCCACCCCCCUACCUCCUCCUCCACCCUUCCACCCUCCUCCUCCACCCUCCUCCUCCUCCCCCCUCCACCCUCCUCCUCCUCCUCCUCCUCCACCUCCUCCACCUCCCCUCCUCCUCCCCCUCCACCUCCUCCUCCCCCCCCUCCACCCUCCACCUCCUCCUCCCCCCUCCACCCCCCUACCUUCCUCCCCCUCCUCCUCCACCUCCCCCCUCCUCCUCCUCCCCCUCCACCCUCCUCCUCCUCCCCCUCCACCUCCUCCUCCUCCUCCCCCUCCACCUCCACCCCCCUCCAUCCCCCUUCCUCCCCCUCCACCUCCUCCUCCUCCCCCCUCCACCACCUCCACCUCCAGCUCCACCCUCCUCCACCUCCUCCCCCCCCCCUCCCCCCUCCUCCUCCACCUCCCCCCUCCACCUCCUCCUCCCCCCUCCACCCUCCCCCUCCACCACCUCCUCCACCUCCCCUCCACCUCCAGCUCCACCCUCCCCCUCCACCUCCUCCUCCUCCCCCCUCCCCCUCCUCCUCCACCUCCUCCACCUCCCCCUCCACCCUCCCCCCAGCUCCACCCUCCCCCUCCUCCUCCCACCUCCACCCCCUCCCCCUCCCUCCAGCUCCACCUCCCCUCCACCUCCUCCUCCACCUCCACCCUCCCCCUCCCCCUCCCUCCAGCUCCCCCCUCCACCUCCCCCCUCCACCCUCCACCUCCAGCUCCACCCUUCCACCUCCUCCCCCCCUCCACCUCCAGCUCCACCCUCCCCUCCUCCUCCACCCUCCCCCCUCCCUCCAGCUCCCCCUCCACCUCCAGCUCCACCCUCCCCCUCCACCUCCUCCUCCCCCUCCCCUCCACCCCCUCCCUCCAGCUCCCCCUCCACCUCCAGCUCCCCCCUCCAGACACAUUCUCUCAACCAAAGCCUGAGCACUUGAAUUUUCAUCUCUUUUUUUUAGGUAAAACAGUGUCAUUUGAUUGA